AGAUGCAGUACAGUGGAGAAGAGAGGGAAAAAUUGCUCCUGUGAUGAAAUAAAAAUUGUGCUUAAGAGAUAUUUGCUUUUGCCCUACAGGUUAUGAAUCUGCAUGACUUCCUGAGAACUUUUCUGAGCAUGUGGUGUUGUGGGUCAUGACUGCCUGGGCAGUGGUGCACAACUUGUCUGCCAAGACUACGCAACAGCUGACAGCUGCCUGUGGAAUGAAAGCAAAGGCCAACUUCUCAGAGUGCUCUGGAAUUGCCUUGGCAAAUAAUGGAAUUUGAGGAAGUAAAGCUACCCAGGAAGAUUUAUUGCUGCCUUUGGAGAAGCAAAGGCCAUUCCUUAAUGUAAGAGCAAGGGGAUGGCUCAAGCUGGAGUUGUGAGCAUUCCAGAAAGCUGCUUAUGGCAGGCAGUUUUUUUCUUGGUAUUGUUUUCUGGUGUUUCUGUGUUUACUGUGGAAGGGAUGGAGCUUCAUCACUGGACUCUUCCAAGAYGAUYGCACUUGMGGAGUUGUUUGUCCCUCUCCUGGRCYGCAGACAAGAGGACACAGCAGAGGUCCUGGGAAAACAUUUCCUCCUACAUUUACACCCUAGGUAUGUGGGGGUUUUUUUGUUGUUUUUUUGUAGCAUCUGCAGCAAUUGCGGGGGGUGUGAGGUAUCACUCUCAUCAACUAGUCUGGUUUCUGGCUCGCUUGCUGGAUGUUUUGCUGCUCCUCAGAAAUAUUGUCAGCCCUGUUCAGGGAGAAACUGUGUGGAUUUUUUGUGGUAUGUAGACUUGCAGAAAAGUCCCAACUUGAUCUGGAGAGGGAAGGAAGCAUCCUCCUUCCCUUCAAGUGCAGUAUGAUGAGAAAGGAAGUCAUGUCAUUAGACACCAAAUGCAACUGUGAGUAAGCCCAUGUGCCCCAAGGGCUCAGAAACUAACCUACACACAACUAACGAGCUCACCUCUUUUCCUGGCCAAGCCUCAGCACUGAGAGGGAAGAAACUGCUGGACUUCUCUGGACCACAAGGAAACCAUUGGCAGUCUUGCCUGCCAGCUCCUCUGUUAUAUCCGUGCCCCUGAACCCACUGCCACGUGCUCUUUUGUGGCUCUGCUUCUGACCCCUACCCUGGCUUCUGGGGCUGUAUGCUUUGCUUUUUGAGGUAGUGUGCGGGCCUUUUCCAGGAGUGGUUGAGGAUUUCAGGUGAGGUAGAAUGGGUGAUCAGAAUGGUGUUUCAGUUGUUCUAGGGCCAGUCAGUGCUGCCUGGCAGCAUAGAAACUUUGUUUUGGUUUUCCAGGUGCCAUGGGCGUCCCCCCAGCCCCAAUGUCUGAGUUUGGAAUUGGCACGGUGAAGGUGAGCAGAGUGCCCAUGGGGCUUUGACAUAGGGUGCUCUUGCAGACGAGGCUGGAGCUGACUGGCCUGGGGGGUGACUGCUUGCRCUCUGGUUUGGCAGGUGAKGAYGGCAAAUGAGGUGACUGGAGGAAGAUCAGAGAGGAUGUGGCUGCCAUUGAGGAUGCCUCUUGAGGACAAAUGCUGACCUAGAGCACUGCAGAAGCUAAGUUGAGGGGCAAAGGGUGUUGAUGUGUCUUGUCUGUGUGUGCGCUGACAAAGUGUAGUAUGGGCUCUUCCGGAUGAGUGCUGUGUGUGAGGCAGAGACAGAGAGUGUGCUUGGCAGAAGGUGAGUGUGUGCUAGGCAGGGCAGCUCCAGCCUGUCUGUGUUGUUGCGUAGUCUGUGGUGUGUGUUGUAGUUGUGCUACCUUUUGCUCAGGUCUUGACGCUGCUCUGCUCCUUUGUGCUCAAGGAGCACAGCCCACACUGUACAGCACUAGUGCGGUAGGCAUCUGUUGUCUUUUGCUUGGCCUG
ensembl:lncRNA